AGAGUUUGAUCCUGGCUCAGGACGAACGCUGGCGGCGUGCUUAACACAUGCAAGUCGAACGAGAAUCUACGGAUCGAGGAUUCGUCCAAGUGAAGUAGAGGACAGUGGCGGACGGGUGAGUAACGCGUGAGGAACCUGCCUUUCAGAGGGGGACAACAGUUGGAAACGACUGCUAAUACCGCAUGACACAUUGGGGUCGCAUGGCUCUGAUGUCAAAGAUUUAUCGCUGAAAGAUGGCCUCGCGUCUGAUUAGCUAGUUGGUGAGGUAACGGCCCACCAAGGCGACGAUCAGUAGCCGGACUGAGAGGUUGACCGGCCACAUUGGGACUGAGAUACGGCCCAGACUCCUACGGGAGGCAGCAGUGGGGAAUAUUGGGCAAUGGGCGCAAGCCUGACCCAGCAACGCCGCGUGAAGGAAGAAGGCUUUCGGGUUGUAAACUUCUUUUAAGAGGGAAGAGCAGAAGACGGUACCUCUUGAAUAAGCCACGGCUAACUACGUGCCAGCAGCCGCGGUAAUACGUAGGUGGCAAGCGUUGUCCGGAUUUACUGGGUGUAAAGGGCGUGCAGCCGGGCAUGCAAGUCAGAUGUGAAAUCUCAGGGCUUAACCCUGAAACUGCAUUUGAAACUGUAUGUCUUGAGUGCCGGAGAGGUAAUCGGAAUUCCUUGUGUAGCGGUGAAAUGCGUAGAUAUAAGGAAGAACACCAGUGGCGAAGGCGGAUUGCUGGACGAUAACUGACGGUGAGGCGCGAAAGCGUGGGGAGCGAACAGGAUUAGAUACCCUGGUAGUCCACGCUGUAAACGAUGGAUACUAGGUGUGCGGGGACUGACCCCCUGCGUGCCGCAGUUAACACAAUAAGUAUCCCACCUGGGGAGUACGAUCGCAAGGUUGAAACUCAAAGGAAUUGACGGGGGCCCGCACAAGCGGUGGAUUAUGUGGUUUAAUUCGAAGCAACGCGAAGAACCUUACCAGGGUUUGACAUCCUGCUAACGAAGUAGAGAUACAUUAGGUGCCCUUCGGGGAAAGCAGAGACAGGUGGUGCAUGGUUGUCGUCAGCUCGUGUCGUGAGAUGUUGGGUUAAGUCCCGCAACGAGCGCAACC
rnacentral:rRNA from 1 species